CCUACGGGAGCAGCAGUGGGGAAUUUUGGACAAUGGGCGCAAGCCUGAUCCAGCAAUGCCGCGUGCAGGAUGAAGGCCUUCGGGUUGUAAACUGCUUUUGUACGGAACGAAAAAGUCUGCCCUAAUACGGUGGGCCCAUGACGGUACCGUAAGAAUAAGCACCGGCUAACUACGUGCCAGCAGCCGCGGUAAUACGUAGGGUGCGAGCGUUAAUCGGAAUUACUGGGCGUAAAGCGUGCGCAGGCGGUUAUAUAAGACAGAUGUGAAAUCCCCGGGCUCAACCUGGGACCUGCAUUUGUGACUGUAUAGCUAGAGUACGGUAGAGGGGGAUGGAAUUCCGCGUGUAGCAGUGAAAUGCGUAGAUAUGCGGAGGAACACCGAUGGCGAAGGCAAUCCCCUGGACCUGUACUGACGCUCAUGCACGAAAGCGUGGGGAGCAAACAGGAUUAGAUACCCUGGUAGUCCACGCCCUAAACGAUGUCAACUGGUUGUUGGGUCUUCACUGACUCAGUAACGAAGCUAACGCGUGAAGUUGACCGCCUGGGGAGUACGGCCGCAAGGUUGAAACUCAAAUGAAUUGACGGCUGAGAGNGCGACGACGACGACGAGGGAGGAGG
rnacentral:rRNA from 1 species